UACGAACGGGGCGAGCGUUGUUCGGAAUUACUGGGCGUAAAGGGCGCGUAGGCGGCGACCCAAGUCAGAUGUGAAAGUCCUGGGCUUAACCUGGGGACUGCAUUUGAUACUGGGUUGCUUGAAUUCGGGAGAGGAUAGCGGAAUUCCCAGUGUAGAGGUGAAAUUCGUAGAUAUUGGGAAGAACACCGGUGGCGAAGGCGGCUAUCUGGACCGACAUUGACGCUGAGGCGCGAAAGCGUGGGGAGCAAACAGG
rnacentral:rRNA from 1 species